rnacentral:lncRNA from 1 species
UAAUCCUUAAAACUAAAACAUGCUUGUAGUACGCUUGAAGUCUUGCGAACCAAACAUAAAAUCAAAGAUAACAAUAUCCAAAAAUAGAGUAAAAACAAAGUAAUUAGUCCAUACCAGGAUCUCCAACAUGAUAUAUAAUCAAUCAAUUCAAGUGAUCUUGUUGUGGUGCUAAACGUUUCCGUUUCUUCUUCUCAUAGCUGAUCCCUCUUGCUUUCGAUUGCAACUCACGAAUCUCACGAAGGUAAAGCUUCACUGGUGUUGCCCCAAACGGGUUAACUUCCGGAGCCCCACCGUUCUCUUCGUAUGCAGCUCUAAGCCGGCCUAUAAGUGCAUCCAAACUGCCCCAAGCUUGUCGAAGUGGGCACGGACAAGGAGCCGGUGGGUUCGGAUGCCCGUAAAACGGACAUAUUAAGGUGUGAACCUUAGUCUUUCCGAACUGGUCCAGGUAACAAAGGAAUUCAAGCACAUGUGCACCACUGCAUUGCUGUAUAAAGAGUGGAGGGUGGCGGUUUAUGAGGUACUGACAGAAGGUGUUCCAGUCACGGCGUUUUUGGUUCUCGUAGCGGCUCGGGGUGGUUGCAACUGCCGGAGAGUUACUUGAGCCAGAUGCAACGGUGGUCAAGCUGCUGAAGUCUUGGUGGCUCAUGUUGUGGUUGUGGUUAUUAUUGUUUUGUGUGUAUGGAUCCAUUGAGAUUUCGGAUAAUGUCUGAGACGUGAUGUUUUGGUUUUUUUUUAGGGUAAAUUUUGAAUGUUCGUAGCUAGGGUUUCCUUUUAAUCACAAGAAAAAGUGGAGUGAAACUGUUAGACCAAUGGGCAUGGGGAUCAAUUCAAGUGAAACUGUUAGGGAAAAGGUUGUGUCUGUGGUUUUGUGGCAACAAUAG